rnacentral:lncRNA from 1 species
UGUCGUCUCUCUCUUGAAAGUGACCAGCAAUUUGUAAGGGUGGGGGAGUCUUAAGAAGUCAAAUAAUGCUUAGCUUGCUGGCAUUUCCUGAUUCCAAACCAGAGAUUUCUAAGAGCUAAUUUGUUGGUAAACUAUAGUAUGCAGGCAUUGAAAAAUAUACUCUUCUUAGUAUGGGUGUCAAAGUAGCAGGAUAGCAGAACA